UGAGGAAUAUUGGUCAAUGGGUGCAAGCCUGAACCAGCCAUCCCGCGUGAAGGACGACUGCCCUAUGGGUUGUAAACUUCUUUUGUGUAGGGAUAAACCUACCCUCGUGAGGGUAGCUGAAGGUACUAUACGAAUAAGCACCGGCUAACUCCGUGCCAGCAGCCGCGGUAAUACGGAGGGUGCAAGCGUUAUCCGGAUUUAUUGGGUUUAAAGGGUCCGUAGGCGGACUUAUAAGUCAGUGGUGAAAGCCUGUCGCUUAACGAUAGAACUGCCAUUGAUACUGUAAGUCUUGAGUAUAUUUGAGGUAGCUGGAAUAAGUAGUGUAGCGGUGAAAUGCAUAGAUAUUACUUAGAACACCAAUUGCGAAGGCAGGUUACCAAGAUAUAACUGACGCUGAGGGACGAAAGCGUGGGGAGCGAACA
rnacentral:rRNA from 1 species